CGCUUUGACCUUCUACCGCGUGACUCCUGGACGGAGCUCCCUGGGGCGACGCAACACGGCCGUCCUUCAGCCGAGACCAUCCGGAGGAAUGGCCAGAGAAUGGACGAUUCUCUCCGCUUCCUUCCUAGCAACCGCGACAGCCGGCCCUGGGCAGCCAACCGAGUGAAUUUGAAAACCAAAUCUGCGAGCGCGCGGGCUCCUGCGUGAUUAAUCUGCUCCGUCUAUCGCCCAUCUGUUGUUGUCACCAGGAGACCAGGAGAGGGAAAGCGGCGCGGGCCCUGUUCACUUGGGCAGGCCAGCUGGAGCCUCUCCUUCUCCCCGGCCAUGGGGGGGGGGGGGGGGCAGAGGCACGCCUGGGAGAGGGGGAGAACAAAGGCUUCUCCGGCUCUGGCCUCCUUGGGCCAAAGCGGCUCUUUGGGAGCUUCGGAUUCCUCUCGGCUAAAUAAUAUUUCAGCUCGCAGCCCUGGGCUAAACGGGGCUCCGAGGCUCAUUCGAUUUCUUUUGCCUCUUACUAAAGACACCUGAGAAAAAUGGGGUGCCGAUGGGGUCUGCUAAAGAAGGGUGGACGUGAGCGGGCUUUUAGAUUCCCUGGGCCAGUGCCAUCCGUUGUCAGAGGAAGACAUUGAGGCCCCGGGAAGUACAUGACUUGCCCAGUGCCCUCAGAGAACUUGAACCCAGGACUCCUGCAUCUCUGAAGCCAACCAGAACUCCCUCUGAAGAGAGCUGAAAUGUAUACUACAGUUUGAAUAGGUUCUCUUUUUUAGAGCCUCACAACAUUCCUGAGAAUGCAUCUCGGAUAUUAUAAUGGAAUUAAGGAGAGAAGUAAGAUGUGUUUGCCCAAAUCAGACGUUCUGUAUCUAUUCUACCAAAUUCAUUUUUAAUUGGAUUUCCUUGUGGCAAGCAGUUCUUGGCGAGGAAACGUCCUCCCCCUCCCCCCCCCCCCGGCAGAGUGGCACCUGCUCAGGUAAGCUUAGUCUUAGGGCAUUGUCGGGGCCUGAGAGCUGGAGGCCACACUGGAAGCCAGGCUGCCCUUGACCAGGGAGUGAGCGUGAGUGUGAGCUCCUUCAGAGACUGGAUCUGGCCAGCCUGUGAUCAUGCUCAGCACACAGCUAGGCUAGGCAUCUUGGGACAUCCUGCUGUCUGUACUGGCCAGCCACAGACCACACGCCCCGUCUCCCCAACUUCCCCCUCCAAGUCCCUGUCAUUGCUUCGGAGAAGAGUCCAUCAAUGGGCUGCCCAAAGGCUUCGCUCUCUUCUUUCCAUGUUGUCUCCCCAAUAAACCUCUUGAGGGGA